CCUCUUUAUUUUUAUAUCCAUUUUUUAAUAUUAUUAUUAAUAAUUUAUUAUUAUUGUAGUUGUUGUUGAUGAUUACUGAGUCGUAUGGGCACUGGCAGUGUCACUUUUGCACUGUUUAUUUCCAUUUGUGGUAGAGUCAGAUUGCAACCUUUUUUCUCAUCACUUCAAUAAUAAUGUAAGUAAAGACUCACCUUUUAUGCCCAAAAGCCCAAAAACGAAGCUACUCUUUUUUUUUUUGUUUCGUCCUCUUCUUCCUCCUCUAACUUCUAUCUCUGUACCCUUUUUGGGUUUAUCAUUUUCUCGGGAAAGUGGCGUCGCUGAGAAAGCUAGGUUUUUAUGAAAGUUCCUUCUUUCUCCGUGUUUCUGCUGCGAAAUUUCAGGGUAAAGGGACCAAGUCUGAAACUUUAGCACCAAAUGUCUAAAACCCAGUUUUCUGUUUUUUUUUUUUUUUAAAAAUCAUGUGUUCGUUUUUUGUGUAUUAAGAAUUUGAUCAGAAUAAUUAGUAUUACCCUCUCUGCGUUAUUUUUUCCAUUAAGUCAAUGAUAGAUAGGUGGUGAUACUCGUACUCAAAGCAAACGUGAUUGGUCAUUUUCAUAGGACCCAAGAAGUAGCAUUCGAUAUGAAUCAUGUUAUUGUUGUGUUUUUGUUGGGGAUCUUGAUUGAUUGAUUUCAAGUAUUUAUGAUUAGGGAGAUGGGUUGUUGUGUUGGCCUUAAUUUUGAAGGAAAACAAAGGCCUAACACUGGCUCUGUUGCUAAUGUUUUCUAAUGCUGGAAGUUAUGGUAUAUCUACAUAUUUUAUCGUUUAUUGGGUUGUUGUUGUUGUGGGGUCUCAUUCAAUGACCGACUACUUCUGACAUUGCUGUGAUAAAUACGAAUUGAAGCUUCCAAUGUUGAAAUGGAAGUAUUGAUUACUUGUAGGAAGAGAUUAAACACAUCACAUCAAUAGGGGGAAACCCUUCCAGGUAUAGUUUAAGGAUUUGGUAGUACUUUAUGUUGUUGCCAUGAAUGAAUUAUAAAAUGCCCUUGUAAAUUUAAUAUAGAAGUUUAGAUUUGGGAAAUGUUAGUGGAGCUAGCCCUGUCCGAGGACUAAACUACAUAGGUUCACUGAUUGAAAGAGUGGAAGUUGGUGUGUGCAUUUAAAAUCUACCAGGACAAUGUAUAAAUGACUAAAUGAGUGGGGAAUGGUGGGGAUUGCCUGAUAUAUCACCUUGAGAACUCUUACCAUUAAACUGCAGCCACCUAUCUGCCUGCCAACUCAUGGAUGGAUUUGCAGAAUAAUGUUGCUUGAUGUUGUCUUUGUAAGAGUGAUUUAUUUUCUCCAUAACAAUUAUUAACACUUUGAUUAUUUGAAAUUUGUGACAGUUUCACACUUCUUAGAUUUGUGUGUUUAUGAUGAUUUCUCUAAAAUAAAAUAUACAGGUAUUCUUGAUGCUUUUAGUUAAAUUAUUAAUCAAAUUUCUGUAUGGUUUCGAUGACUUGUUAAAUAUCUAUAAAGCUUGUUUUACUUUUCUUUGCUUGUAGAGAAACUCAAGCAGUAACAUUUUUUUGCCAAUUGUAGUUUGGGAAUUACUGAAAUUCUGAGCUCUUCUGAUGGAGUGGAAUGCAAAAUCUUCCCCACAGUGGGACUGGGAGCACGUUUUCUUGAAUACAAAGCCAGCAGGAGAAAAUUUAAAAUUACAAUCGCCGAACUGGAGUGGUGAAGCAAACCGUGAAAUCAAUGUUGAAUUGUUUGAUACAUCGGGUGGCAGUGGUUGUUCUGGAUCUGAGUUAAUACAUGCUUCUUCAUCAAGGACCUCAAAAUCAGCCUCCAUCAAUUCAUCAUCUAAUAUGGGUAGCAAAACAUCUAUAUUCACUUUUGAAAAUUCCCAAGAUGAUUCCAGUGCUAAAAAAGAAUUAUCUAAAGAAGAACCAGUAGAAACUUCUCAUCCACUAGAGCCCUCUUCUGUCUCUGGUGAACCAUUGCUCACUCUAAAGCUUGGUAAACGGUUGUACUUUGAAGAUGUUUGCCCAGGAAGUGAUGCCAAGAACCUAUCUUUCUCUAAGGAUCCCAUUUCAUCUUUAAGUAUAGGAAAGAAAUGUAAGUCCAAUGGUCAGAAUGUACAAUAUCCAUGCUGCCAGGUAGAAGGUUGUGGUGUUGACCUUUCAUCGGCUAAAGAUUACCACCGCAAACAUAGAGUUUGUGAGAGUCAUUCAAAAUCCGCUAAAGUGAUUGUAGCUGGUUUGGAGCGCCGAUUUUGCCAACAAUGUAGCAGGUUCCAUGGUCUGUUAGAGUUUGAUGAAAAAAAGAGAAGCUGCAGACGACGCCUUUUAGAUCAUAAUGCAAGGCGCCGGAAACCUCUCCCUGAAGCUGUCCAAUUAAGUAAAUCAGCCUUGUCUUCAGCACCCUGUGAGGUGAGACAACAAAUGAGUCCAUUUGCUUAUUCUAGGACUGCUGCAAAUUUAGCUUGUCAAGACAUACACAGCAGCAAGCUUCCCCUGACAAAAGAUUUCCUCAUGAAGCCUGCAAAAACAAAUCCUGAGAUGCCCAGAAUUGUCACUAUGCUUUCCAAUGAGUCCGACAUCUGUUUUACAUCGAAAGGCCUUGCAUCCAAAAGUAUUGAUCGAGGUGUAGAAGAUUCCAUAAACUCCUCUGAUCCAAAUGCUACGCAAGAUUUUCACCGUGCUCUCUCUCUUCUGUCAACGAAUUCAUGGGGUUCAUACGAGAGUAAAUCUAUUUCUCUUGAACACUCCAGUCACACAAUCACUACCACUCAGCCCAUGACGCAUGCAGUGAAUCAGCGCUUACCCCUUGCUUCAUCAGAUUAUUGGCAUACCGAUCAACCACUCAAUUCCAGCAUGUGGAUCUACUCGAAUAGUGAUGACAACAAUCGCUUUCACGAAUUUCAGCUGUUCAGAGAACCUUACGAGUCUGGUUUUCCCUAUGACCAGUUGGAUUAACACGAAUGUUCUCAUCAGAAUGGUUUCGACAAUCCAAUGAAUUUAUAUACAAGAAUUAGGAAAUAUUUUUGCAUGCUGUUUAGCUACUUCUUUUUUACAAUUGUGGAGUUUGAUACAAAAGAAUGAGUUUCCAACCUCUUGUCAACUUUCCUCUACCAGUUCAGUUUCCAGCUUGAACAUGGCAUUGAAAAUAGGCAUUGCUCAAGUGUUUUUCCAAUGAAAGUGAUGAGCUAAGCGAAGAUUUAACUAAUUAAUUUGAAGUUUAAUAUUUAUUAUUCGUAUAUAUGUACAUUUAUAUCUAGUAUUGUAAAUUUGCAAUAUUUUUUACAAUCCUAUUUGUGUGUCGUACUUGCUUUCUUGCAGGCUUAUCUUUUGCAACCGUCCUAAUAUGCCAAGGACGAAAACUAUUGAGAAUAUGUUGUGUAGAAUGGUACAUUGGUAACCCGUGGAGUUAAUUUUCACUCCUAUUUGUUAAUUCAAGUCUGCAACUUAUCUCUUUUUAUCUAAA